GCAGUGCGUCGCGCCGCUGCCCGCAUCUCCGAGGCCCGCGACGAGCGCAGGGGCCUCACGGGAGCUGGAUGCUCGGAGCAGCAAGGCGGCCCUGGGGGCCCCUUCCGGUCCCGGGGCUGACGCCUGGCGGCGUCUCCGGGAACCCGCGCCCUUUCAAGCGCCGCUGGCUCCUGUUUCACAGAUGGAGACCCUGAAGCCCCAACAAGCAGCCUCCCCAGCACCUCCCAGUGACUGAAAAAGCUGGCACUGGGCGCCCGUCUCACUCUCCACCCAGCUCCCAGGCUGCCCCACGGGACGUCAGCACCUUUGGGGAGAGACGAGACCUGAACAAACGCUGGGGCUGGAUCCCCAGGGUGGGUCAGAACAGCCGUUGCCCUGAAAGCUGGCCCGGACAGAUGCGUGCGGGGCGUGCCACCGGAGCUCCUUCCAGCUUGCGUCUGGGGCCACCAUGUCCCUUCCUCAGGGCACUGGAUCCAUCUCUUCAAGCUCAGUGGUCCAGGCCAUGGUGGCAGAAUCACCCCCCAGGGUGUGACGCCUCGUCCCUGUCAAUUCCACACAGCUGCACCCGGAAGAGCUGUGGCCGGGCGCCGCUCUGACCUGUGUGCGGUCCCCUGAAUGGGUCUCAGGUGUCUUCAGAAUGGUGAGGCCGCCUCAUUUCCUCACCACACAACCCUCCUGAGGACGUUGCCUGCAAAUGGGCGGAAUUCCUAAUUUCUACCAUUCAGUUAAACGAGGGAUCCUUAAGCCCCAAAGCUGGGAAAGCUGUCCGUUAAUUUAGUGCGCGUGGGCCGUCUCAGAACAGCAGGGUUCCCAGGAGUCCAGCGGGACGGGGGAGGGGAUGAGUGGCCGUGUCCCCCUGGCAGAGAAGGCCUUGUCUGAAGGCUACGCCCGCCUCCGGUACAGGGACACCUCCUUGCUCAUCUGGCAGCAGCAACAGCAGAAGUUGGAGUCGGUGCCACCUGGGACGUACCUGAGCAGGAGCCGAAGCAUGUGGUACUCACAGUAUGGAAAUGAGGCCAUCUUGGUCCGAGACAAAAACAAGCUCGAGGUCUCUAGGGACACAGGGCAGUCCAAGUUUUGCACAAUUAUGUAAUUCCGAUGUGAGCACCUGAACCCAGGACCACACUUUGAGGAAAACAGACCUGAGUUUCAUUCAGUUGUCUUGUUGAUUUCCAAUCCUUGCUGGAAGAUUUUGAAUAAUGAACGUGAAGAUCAAACUGUGGUGUAAGAACCCAAGAAGCGCAGAAUUGGCCCCCGAACCCCUCAGCACAGCCGCGGUGUGACUGGUGCACAGGACACUUCCCCUCUAGAGUCCCCUCCGUGGUCAGCUGUUGUGACAUUUGAAUUCUCCAGGUGCUGCUAGGGACAGCAUAGGCCCGGGCACUGCUAGAUGCUUGGUUUAAACCAGGCCAAGAGUAACCCUCCCAUCCCCAUUACAAACCACCUUUUCAAGUUUUUUAGGUUUUAGUUUUUUGUUUUUAGCAUAAAUGGCGGAGUAGCAGCAGCAUCUCACCAGGAGCUUUGUCGCAUUACAUUUUGUAUUUUGCUUUUUUGAGACGGGGUCUCACUCUGUUACCCAGGCUGGAAUACAGUGGCACAAUCACAGCUCACUGUAGGCUCUAUCUCCUGGGCUCAGGUGAUCCUCCCAAACUCAGCCUCCCAGGUAGCUGUGGCUCCAGGCGAACUACUGUAUAUAGAGACAGGGUUUCCCUAUGUUGCCCAGGCUGGUCUGGUCUUAUAGUCCUGGGCUCAAGCCUCCCAGAGUGCUGGGAUUACAGGCAUGGGUCACCGCACCAAGCCCGCAUUUAUAUUUUGAGUUACCAAAAUGAUCAUCAUCUGUGAAGCAUCAUGGUAGCUUCCAAGCAUUUGCGGCCCACUGGCCAGUGCAUCCAAAACACAUUCAGGAAACCCGAGAGUUGUAAGUUGCACAUGUGUGGCCUACAGUGACUUCCAUGUAGUAACAGGGCUGAGCAAGGCAGGCUCUCCACCAGACUUAAAGCAUUCAACCACUCUGCCCCCAGGCCGACACUGACAUGUGUUCACUGUCGCUGCCACAGCUGGCCACCUGUGUUCAGUCUCCAUGAAGGAUUCACCUUCUGCUCUCACUGACAUCUCCUUGGCUACACAAAUGUGCAGGUGUCUCUUGUCAAAGCUAAUUUUUCUUUUCUAAAUAAACAU
rnacentral:lncRNA from 1 species